CGAUGGGACCAUACCAUGUCACAAAAAACCCCGUUCUCAUCCGAUCACCGAAGUUAAGCGACGUUGGGCCCGGUUAAUAUUUGUAUGAGUAACCGGCUGGAAAUACCUGGUGGGUCCUAGUGA
rnacentral:rRNA from 1 species